UUCUAGAAGCUUGACAAGAAAACUGAAAACAAAUAAUUAGAGAAGAUUAACCGGGCGGGAGGAGAGGGAAGAAGGGAUAAAGAGAAAAGAAAUACAUAGUAACGUUAUAUUGAUUAAAGAGUUCUAGCAAUGCAUCUGCUUCCAACUAUAUAUAAAGAUCUUGCAUGUGAUUAACCGGGCGGGAGGAGAUGGAAGAAGGGCUUGGCCACUUGGAUCGUGAGAUGACUAUUCGGUUGACCAUUUGUGCUAUCUAUUCAAUGUCAUGCAUCAUAGAAACAAAGAUUAGUUUUGUUGUUGUGGAUUUUGCAGGAAAACAGAGUAGGUCAUGGUGGAUGAAGAAAACAUUAACCAACAGACUUUUCGGUUGCUGAUCAAAUAUAAAAUAUGUAAUUUUCUGGUUCAGUAAUAAACGGGCAAUUCAACUUAUAGCUGGGGCAGCCUGAUUUCCUCCUACACACGCCCGCUAGCAGCAGCAGUUACGACCAGGCGGUUGCGGAAGGUGAUAGGUGUGGUGGUCGGUGGUGCCUGGGCUAUUGAUGUUCGAUUUGAGAGGAAGAAGAGAGUGGCUGCUGAUUUUGGGAGGAAGAAGAGAUAUUGAGCGUGCUGUUGCUGCCGUGUGUGGUCUUGGGAGAGGAAUAAAAGAGAGUAGUAGAGAGCUUUAGAGAGAUAGCAAAGGAUUGAGAGGCUACUGCUAUUUGUAUUGCUGUCGAUGCUUGCACAAUGCCACUGGUUAUUAUACUGGGUUAUUUAUCUUUGAAAAAAAACAAUCAUUUUCUCCCUUCAA